rnacentral:rRNA from 1 species
GACGAACCGUGCGAACGUUGUUCGGAAUCACUGGGCUUAAAGGGCGCGUAGGCGGGCGGGCAAGCCCGGGGUGAAAUCUUUAGGCUCAACCGGAAAAGUGCCUCGGGGACUGCUCAUCUGGAGUGAGGUAGGGGCCGCGGGAACUUCCGGUGGAGCGGUGAAAUGCGUUGAUAUCGGAAGGAACGCCGGUGGCGAAAGCGCGCGGCUGGCCCUCAACUGACGCUGAGGCGCGAAAGCUAGGGGAGCGAACGGG